UACGUAGGGUGCAAGCGUUGCCCGGAUUUAUUGGGCGUAAAGGGCGCGUAGGCGGCUCUGCACGUUCGUUGUGAAAUCGCCCGGCUCAACUGGGCGGGGUCAGCGGAUACGGCAGAGCUUGAGCAAGCUAGGGGGCAAUGGAAUUCCCGGUGUAGUGGUGGAAUGCGUAGAUAUCGGGAAGAACACCGGUGGCGAAGGCGGCUCUCUGGACCGAGACUGACGCUGAGGCGCGAAAGCGUGGGGAGCAAACAGG
rnacentral:rRNA from 1 species